rnacentral:rRNA from 1 species
UACGUAGGGGGCAAGCGUUGUCCGGAUUUAUUGGGCGUAAAGAGCGUGUAGGCGGUCCGGUAAGUCCGCUGUGAAAGUCGGGGGCUCAACCCUCGAAUGCCGGUGGAUACUGUCGGACUAGAGUCCGGAAGAGGCGAGUGGAAUUCCCGGUGUAGCGGUGAAAUGCGCAGAUAUCAGGAGGAACACCAAUGGCGAAGGCAGCUCGCUGGGACGGUACUGACGCUGAGACGCGAAAGCGUGGGGAGCAAACAGG